GUCUACGGCCAUACCCCCUGAAUGCACCCGAUCUCGUCUGAACUUGGAAGCUGAGCAGGGUCAAGCCUGGUUAGUACUUGGAUGGGAGAAUUACUGGUGCAGCUUCCU
ensembl:rRNA 5S_rRNA 5S ribosomal RNA